GGAUUAGAUACCCUGGUAGUCCACGCUGUAAACGAUGAUCACUCACUGUUGGCGAUACACUGUCAGCGGUCAAGCGAAAGUAUUAAGUGAUCCACCUGGGGAGUACGAUCGCAAGGUUGAAACUCAAAGGAAUUGACGGGGGCCCGCACAAGCGGUGGAGCAUGUGGUUUAAUUCGAUGAUACGCGAGGAACCUUACCAAGGCUUAAAUGCAAAAUGACUUUUAGGGAAACCUAAAUUUUCUUAGGAACAGAUUGCAAGGUGCUGCAUGGUUGUCGUCAGCUCGUGCCG
rnacentral:rRNA from 1 species